rnacentral:misc_RNA from 1 species
UGAAAGCAUUUGUCACACUGUGUAAUACCUGCCUGUGUCUGUGUUCCUCAAUCUCAACACUGCUAUUGUGUGCACAGCACUGUGUCUAUCUCUCAUCACCUCCAUCUCAUGCUUUGCUCGGCAGUAGGCACACACUGGAUACUCAAUGAAUGACUUAUAUUGUGUAUACAGUUUCCAUUCUUUGGAAAUGUGGUAGAAACUGAGGACCAGGUGCUGGCAACCUUCUGUGGCAGGGAGACCACAGACACAGAGCAGACUCCCGGCCAGGAGGUGGUCCUCUCCCCUGGCUCCUUCAUGUCCAUCACUUUCCGGUCAGAUUUCUCCAAUGAGGAGCGUUUCACAGGCUUUGAUGCCCACUACAUGGCUGUGGAUGUGGACGAGUGCAAGGAGAGGGAGGACGAGGAGCUGUCCUGUGACCACUACUGCCACAACUACAUUGGCGGCUACUACUGCUCCUGCCGCUUCGGCUACAUCCUCCACACAGACAACAGGACCUGCCGAGUGGAGUGCAGUGACAACCUCUUCACUCAAAGGACUGGGGUGAUCACCAGCCCUGACUUCCC